rnacentral:rRNA from 1 species
CCUACGGGAGACAGCAGUGGGGAAUCUUUCACAAUGGGCGAAAGCCUGAUGGAGCAACGCCGCGUGCAGGAUGAAGGCCUUCGGGUUGUAAACUGCUUUUAUAAGCGAGAAAUAUGAUGGUAACUUAUGAAUAAGGAUCGGCUAACUACGUGCCAGCAGCCGCGGUCAUACGUAGGAUACGAGCAUUAUCCGGAGUGACUGGGUGUAAAGAGUUGCGUAGGUGGCAUAAUAAGUAGCUAGUGAAAUCUGGUGGCUCAACCAUUCAGACUAUUAGCUAAACUGUUAAGCUCGAGACCGUGAGGGGUAACUGGAAUUUCUAGUGUAGGAGUGAAAUCCGUAGAUAUUAGAAGGAACACCAAUAGCGUAGGCAGGUUGCUGGGACGGUUCUGACACUAAGGCACGAAAGCGUAGGGAGCAAACGGGAUUAGAUACCCGGGUAGUC